GGCCGAUUGGAGGAUUGCGGGACGACAACGGCUUGUCUUCGCCUUCGGCUGCAUGCUGCAUUUCAAGUUCAACUGCAUUCUGCAAUCGAAGCGUGGUUGGUAAUGGCGAGGCGAUGUUUCUGUUUAGUUUUUGUCGGUUAGUGUGAAUGUUAUGGCCAUUUUUAAUUUCCUGCUGUCCUUAAAACGAAACUAUUAGGUGGGCAUUUUACAAUAAACAAUAAUGCAAGAGAGCUGUGUAGUCCUUCCACUGUACCAUCCGCUAGUAACAAACCAUUCUCGGGGCGUUGUGAAUAUCCAGACUGAUCUUGACCUUAACAAGAAAGCCCAUGCAAAUGAUGCAACUUAAAAUAUACCUCCUGGUUGUCUUCCGAAUAUGCCUUGAAGAUAUUUAAAAUGCCAGUUUUGUCUUCAACUGAAAAGUGCUUGGCAGAACGUUUUUUCGGUGGAGAGAAAGCAGCACCGGCGACAUUCAUGUUUGCGUACA